UCAGCCCCGGCAAGAUGGCGGCCUCCAUGGAGCUUAGCUGCUGGGGAGGAGGCUGGGGGCUCCCUUCGGUCCACAGCGAGUCCCUGGUGGUGCUGGCUUAUGCCAAAUUUUCUGGCGCGCCCUUGAAAGUCAGUAUUAUAGACAACACCUGGAGAGGUCCAAGAGGUGAUGUACCAAUUUUGACAACUGAAGACAGCAUUGUUUCUAAGCCUGAAAAAAUUCUAAACUUUUUAAGAAAACAGAAAUUUAAUGCUGAUUAUGAGCUCUCAGCAAAACAAGGGGCAGAUACACUGGCGUACAUCGCUCUCUUGGAGGAGAAGCUUCUCCCUGGUGUGCUUCACACCUUCUGGGUUGAGAAUGAUAAUUACUUCACUGUGACAAAGCCAUGGUUUGCCUCUCGUAUCCCCUUCCCUCUAAGUUUAAUCCUGCCGGGAAGGAUGUCUAGAGGAGCCCUGAAUAGGAUUCUCUUGACGAGGGGAGGACCUCCCCUCUACCAUGUCCAAGAUGUGGAAGCCCAGAUAUACAGAGAUGCCAAGGAGUGCCUCAAUCUCCUGUCGAACAGAUUGGGAACAUCUCAGUUUUUCUUUGGUGACACGCCUUCCACCUUAGACGCAUAUGUGUUUGGCUUCCUUGCACCUCUUUAUAAAGUGCGUUUUCCCAAAGUUCACUUACAAGAGCAUCUGAAACAGCUCCCCAACCUGUGUCGCCUCUGCGAUGACAUCCUGGACAGCUACUUCAGGCACGGUGCUGGAGCAUUUUCCUUCAUGAACAGAAAUCAGUAGCAGAUUGACUUUGGUGAGGUACACUCCCAUGAUCCUACUACUUGAAAACUGAUUGCACCAAACUGGAGAUAGAGCAUCUCUCCAGCUGGACAAGAAGUGGAUGCAAACCUGCAGAAACUCACCCAGCUUGUAAAUAAGGAGUCCAACCUAAUUGAGAAGAUGGAUGGCAACCUCCGCCAGAGCCCUCAGCUUCUUCCUCGGAAGCUGCCAACCCUCAAGCUGACCCCAGCAGAAGAAGAGAGUAACUCCUCACGGCUGCUGUCGCCCUGACAGUCACGGCCAGAGUCUUGGUGACUGUGGGAGUAGCUGCUGGGGCCAAGUGUACGGAGACCCGAAGAAGAACACAGUAAUGAGCUUAAGACUAAAGCAGAGGAGCUGUGUGGACCUUCAUUUUAAAUUACGAAAGCUGUGAUUUUAGCCGGGCAGUGCAUUGUAAAUAGAGGCGAAUGCUAAGUGACCUGGGGGGCAAGCACGAGGCACUGUGUAUGAAACCCCGCCUUAACCGGGGCGGACCUUUGCCUUUGGGUCAAGUGUUGCCGACCAAAGCUGCAAUGCUGUUCUGAAUGUGCGCUUUUUAAUUUAUUUAAGUUAAUUUAUUAACUUAGUUUUUCUUAGACUGUCUCAGUACAUAAUAUGUGGUAUUUGGCUGAGAUCUUAUUCUUCUUUUUAGAAGUCUGAUGCCUAUUUUAGGAACCAGGAAAAAUAGGGAUUAUUUCAAUAGGAAAGCCUGUAUUUAAUUUUAAAAAGCAAUGAGGAAUGUGCUUCUUAAUUAUUCUCUCAUAAGUCUGCUCCUUUGGCACUUUAGUACCACAUAUGCAAGUGCUAACGGUGGUUUAUGUAAUACCGAGAUGACGCAGCUCGCUCGCUCGCACACACGCACGCACGCACG